GCAAGUCUAUGCAUGCAUGCUCAGAAGUGAUUCUCACAUUAUUCCAUGGGGCUUCCUUCCAGGUUAGGCUGACUGACUCCACCUUCCUGCCUGCUUCUGGAUAACCUGAUUCUUCUGUUUGGAUCAACAUGUGCCAGUUGGUACAGAGAUGAUGACUGCUUCAUACCAGGCUUGAGGUAAAACCUCUCCCUCAAUUUUGCCUUGGCUGUAGAAAAGGACAUUCCACUGUGAGAGGAAUUGCAGGGAGGAAAGAAACUGCAAUCCAGUCCAAUUCUGUGUGCGCGUACAUGCGACUGCACAAGGAAAUGAAGGAAGACAAAGCAUGGAGGCAUAUUUGGAGGACAGUCUAAGGAAGUGCUUCUUUACUCAAAGACUAAUUAACAUGUGGACUUGAUUGGCAGAAGAUGCAGUGAGAGCCACUACAUUUUCUGGCUUUGAAUGGGAUUCAAAGAUGUUAAUGGAGGACAAAUUCAUCAAUGGCCAUUAGUCAAAAUGUUACCUGGGAGUAUAAAGUUGGUAUCUACUUUUCGGCCAUCAAAAAACAUUUGCUUGCCUGUUGUGUGAAAUAGGAUGCUGGAUUAAAUGAAUUUGUUGGUCCGAUCCAUCACAGCAGCCUUUAUGCUCUUAGUAACAUGAAUGUGAGGAUCACUAACUCCAAUUAGGCAAGUGCUAUCUUAGACCUAGUGCCUGUGUGUAGCCAUGGUGGGAAAUGAGACCCUUCCCCAGCCUCACAAAGCUCCACUCUCUUUGGUAUUAAUGGACUUUCACAAAGUUUUUUUUAAUUGCAUAUUGUCACUUUAUCUGAGUAUCCAUUAUAAUGUGCUCACUUUCAAUAAAUCAAUAUAUACUUCACAUCUAUGAAAAGUUACUACCUAACUUUACUUCAUUUUUUGAAAGGGGUGUAGAAUGUGAAAUGUUUGGCCUGUUUAAUUGUAGGCACCUAGUGGAUAUAUAAUUGCCUACCAUCUCUUUGCUUA